GUUAAGGUGAUAAUGAAAAGGAAGUAGACAGUAGAAGCCUACAGCUGAAAGGGACCUUCUUCUUUAUCACCCAGAGGUUGGACGCUUCUUCCCAACGCAAAACAUUUUAGAGAUACUCCUGGAAUGCAUGAAAAAACAGCACCCUCUGAUAAAAAGUUUCAGCAUUCGAGAUCUGGGCUACCUUUUACAGCACCCCUUUGAGAUGUCAUAGGAGAAAGUCUCGAUUGUUCUUCCUGCAACACUGACAAAAUACCAUAUUUUAAAAACACAAACUUACUGACAGUGAUUAAAAACACUAAAGCUGGAUGCAA